UACACCGUGACCCACCCCCAGUUUCAGCCAGCCUGGAUUAUGGACACGUGCACCCAGCAUGUACAAGGGGACCUCGGGAUGAGACCCCAGGACGUCCUGAGGGCCCAGCCUGGCAGAGUACUGUCUUACCACUGUGCUACUGCAGCUGUCCCUCGGGAUGAUGCUUUAUAUGCCCCAAAUAGGAACCCCCUCAGCCGACUUUCACCUGCCUUCGCCGAAGUCCCCAGCAGGCCCUCUCUGGUGCCUGGCCUCAAAGAACGCCCUGCAGUUUGCACGGAGCCCAUGGGGUCUGCUUAAAAAGUGUGCUGGGGCUUCAGUGUGUCUCCCCAAAGCUCGUGUGUUGGAAACUUACUAACCCCAGUGCAGUGUGCUGAGAGGGAGGACCUCUGAGGGGUGGUCAGGUCACGAGGGCUGUGCCCUCAUCCAUGGAGCAAUGCCAUCACCACAGGAGCGGGCCAGUUACCUCGGGGUGAAGUCCUGAUGAAAGGAUGGUCGGUCCCCUACCUACCCCCUGUCACUCUCUCUGGCUGUGCGAGGCCUUCUGCCCUGUAUGACAUCGCAGGAAGGCCCUCAACAG